UUCUUUUCAUUUUCCUUCUGAUCAGAUAUAGAACCUCCACUCUUCAUGGCUUUUUCCUUCUCCCUCUCUUCCCUCUUAUCUAAAGAAAAUUAGGGCAAUACCUCAAAAAUCACAGUUAAUUUUACAGUAAGCUAAAAAUGUAUACCAAUAUCCUUCAACCCAUUCUUUACAAUUACCAAAAUCUAAUUAAAUCAUGUAAACAGACCUGGCAAAUCAUCCUACAUGUAAAUUUUUAGUUCUAAAACGGAUCUUUUGUUUAUCAAUAGGAAAUGGAAAAUGAUUUGUUUUUUGAUCUGAUUUGACGAGGACCUGCAGUUUUUCACAAUGGGCCUACACUACAACAAAAUGGGCUUUUAACAACACUUUUUCUAAAAGGGUCAUGCAUAACCCUUGUAGAAAGCACUUUCUACAACAGGCCCGGGUAGUCAGCCAGACCCAUCAACACCACCUUGAACCAUUAACAUCAUCCACUUAGCUUACCUUGCUGGUCCGUGUUUAAAUGCUAUCUCGUGAGGCAAAAGGAUGGGAUUGGGGCUCAAACUAGAUUACCCUUGUUCAGACUCCCUAAGAUACGAGGAAGCGAAAAAGGAUCACAGCCAUCACAGAACCUGUUAUUUUCUCCAUCAACAAUAGAUUGAAGCCUUUAAAUCUCUAUAUCCAAGUGAAGUUGACAAGCAUUUGUUGUCUCAGCAGACUGGUUUGUCCAAAUAUCAGCAACAGCAGCAGCUGCCACCAUGGUUCCACCAACAACAGUCUCCAUCAGAUUCCCAACAGCAGCGAACCACACCAAACUGGCAUCAAUAGCCUCCACCACCUCCAGCGGACUCUCAUUUUCAGCAGCCGCCACUAACAAGGUGGCACCAGCAAGCACCACCCACAACCACCAACAAAAUGAAUAAUGGAUCUUAAAGAGGAUGGAACAAUAUUUUGUGCUUCUAGAUGGUGUAAUUUUUAGUUUAGAAAACUGGAGAGCAAUUUUAGUUUUUGUUUAGAAAAUUGGAGAUUUUAUGGAUCUUGAAUAUAUGUAUUGAGGAUUUAUUUUAUUUUAUGGCCAGUAAUAUCUUUUUGAAUGUUAUUGUGGAUCUAUUUUAUUUAUGUUUUGCAUGUAUUCAAAAUGAUUAAACCCACAAAUCAAGCAUAAAAAAAUAAUAAUAAAAAAUAAAAAUAAAAAUAAAAAAA